AUUGAACGCUGGCGGCAGGCCUAACACAUGCAAGUCGAACGAGCGGCGGACGGGUGCGUAAUGUCUGGGAAACUGCCUGAUGGAGGGGGAUAACUACUGGAAACGGUAGCUAAUACCGCAUACCAUCAGAUGUGCCCAGAUGGGAUUAGCUAGUUGGUGGGGUAAUGGCUCACCUAGGCGCCGAUCCCUAGCUGGUCUGAGAGGAUGACCAGCCACACUGGAACGGAUACACGGUCCAGACUCCUACGGGAGGCAGCAGUGGGGAUUAUUGCACAAUGGGAGAAAGCCGGAUGCAGCCAUGCCGCGUGUGUGAAGAAGGCCUUCGGGUUGUAAAGCACUUUCAGCGGGGAGGCGUUACUCGCAGAAGAAGCACCGGCUAACGCCGUGCCAGCAGCCGCGGUAAUUC
rnacentral:rRNA from 1 species